rnacentral:rRNA from 1 species
UUCGAUUAGAGUUUGAUCCUGGUAGGAGCCUCUGGCGGCAGGCCUAACACAUGCAAGUCGAGCGGMAGCGGGUCCUUCGGGAUGCCGGCGAGCGGCGGACGGGUGAGUAAUGCCUAGGAAUCUGCCUGGUAGUGGGGGAUAACUCGGGGAAACUCGAGCUAAUACCGCAUACGUCCUACGGGAGAAAGCGGGGGAUCUUCGGACCUCGCGCUACCAGAUGAGCCUAGGUCGGAUUAGCUAGUUGGAGAGGUAAAGGCUCACCAAGGCGGCGAUCCGUAGCUGGUCUGAGAGGAUGAUCAGCCACACUGGAACUGAGACACGGUCCAGACUCCUACGGGAGGCAGCAGUGGGGAAUAUUGGACAAUGGGCGAAAGCCUGAUCCAGCCAUGCCGCGUGUGUGAAGAAGGUCUUCGGAUUGUAAAGCACUUUAAGUUGGGAGGAAGGGCAGUAAGCUAAUACCUUGCUGUUUUGACGUUACCGACAGAAUAAGCACAGGCUAACUUCGUGCCAGCAGCCGCGGUAAUACGAAGGGUGCAAGCGUUAAUCGGAAUUACUGGGCGUAAAGCGCGCGUAGGUGGUUUGAUAAGUUGGAUGUGAAAGCCCCGGGCUCAACCUGGGAAUUGCAUCCAAACUGUCUGACUAGAGUAUGGCAGAGGGUGGUGGAAUUUCCUGUGUAGCGGUGAAAUGCGUAGAUAUAGGAAGGAACACCAGUGCGAAGGCGACCACCUGGGCUAAUACUGACACUGAGUGCGAAGCGUG